GUAGGGUGCAAGCGUUAUCCGGAAUCAUUGGGCGUAAAGAGCUCGUAGGCGGUUCAGCAAGUCGGCUGUGAAAUCCCGAGGGCUUAACCUCGGAACUGCAGUCGAUACUGCUGUGACUAGAGUCCGGUAGAGGAGAAUGGAAUUCCCGGUGUAGCGGUGAAAUGCGCAGAUAUCGGGAGGAACACCAGUAGCGAAGGCGGUUCUCUGGGCCGGUACUGACGCUGAGGAGCGAAAGCGUGGGUAGCAAACAGGAUUAGAUACCCUGGUAGUCCACGCCGUAAACGUUGGACACUGGGUGUGGCGUUCCGACCAACGGGUGCCGUGCCGAAGCUAACGCAUUAAGUGUCCCGCCUGGGGAGUACGGCCGCAAAGGCUAA
rnacentral:rRNA from 1 species